AAGCACUGGUAGAGCCAGCAGGAGCUGCAGAAUGGACCAACGCUAUCCUCAUGCCAUGUCAACAGAGAUGGGAGCACCCGGACCCGGAAAGUGGAGCAGCACCAGGCUGCGUUAAGGCUGUGCUGGCUGCCCAGAGGAGACUGGCUACUGUAGGAGCAUAAUUUUCAACAGAAGAAGCAGACUUGCAGCACCUGGAGAAUAUCUGCCCUGAGUUGCAAGAGACUUUACAAUGUGAUAAAUUGGUGGUACUUCUGCGUGCCUAAAUUCAGGUAUGGACUACACGUCGUUUUGCUCAGGAAAAGAAAAUGAAAAACUUUACCUCUACAACAUGAGAUCUGCUCUGCUGUGGCUGGUGGCACCCCACUGGUGUGUGCUCCCUGGCCCUGCAGCCCUCCUGGGCACCAGCAUCACCAUCACUGAGGGCACCAUGUGAGUUAGCAACAAUUGAGCUUUAUCUCCACUCUCAAAAUGGAGAUUAAACUAUGUUUCUGUGGUGGCUGAGAAAUUUUGCCCUAGCCUUGAUGAAAUGAGCUGGAGCAAAUGGGUAAAGUUUUAGAGUAACUCUUCCAAAGUCAACAGGUCCUUGGGAAAACUAUUCUCUAGACUGGCUUUUUAAAGCAGUACGCUUUACAGAAGUCUUUACAGCAAAAUGCUCCCAGCACAAGCAGUCAGCAGAGCUACUGACUCCAAAACAGCCUCCAUGUGACAAAGAGAGUAGGUCUAAAUUAAAGGCUUAGUGCUCUGUAGAGGACAGAGGGCUGAUAGUAGCUGGGAUGAGAAAUGCAGGAAGUCAGCUCCCUUUUCCCAAGUUACUCUGGGAAUUCUGGUCAGGACUGCAGCAAUGGGUACUUGGUAGUACUCUUUUGAUCACUUACGUAGAUACAAAUUAAUUAUCUUUACAGCACAUGUAUAUAUUUCCUGACCAAUUCCUGCAGGUUGUAUGCAUUACUGUUUUAAGCAAAAACAGAAAAAGGCAAUGAGAAAAGACAGAGUCCUUUACUGCAGUUAGAAUGGUGUGCUGGCACACUGCGGUGGGCAGGAGUUUGUGGCUGUAUGGAGUUAAAAGCAAAUAUCACCUAGUAGGUGCAGAUACACGAGUGCUAACAGAAACACACCUACACACAAACAGGUUUUACAAAUCUACAAAUGUCUACACACACCUAUGUGCCUAUCUGUAUUGAAAAAGUGAUAUAUGCAUAUUCUUGCUUACAGACAUGUACUCAGGCCCUGGCACAUGUGUGCACAAACCCAUACGCAGAUGCCAUGUGUAAUUUUAGACCACACAGCAUAUGCACACACACAUCUGUUGGUGAGCUCUGAGCAAAACAGGUAUCAGCAAGCUGACCCCUGAGGCUGGGCAACGGCACCGAAACCCAGCAAGGCUGGGGCUUUUAGUGAAGUGAGUGAGAAAUGAAAAAAAGAGAGCUUGAAAGUGCCUGGUGCUGUGAUGCAUAAUUGAUGAGACUCCAAGCAGGGCUUUGGUGUCUAAUGAAUUAUUAAACACUGACUCAUUAGGGAAAGAUUUCAUUAUAGGAUAAUUUAAUUAAAUGAUAGGCAAAAGGAGGAAAGAGCUUUAAGGGACUUAAAGUCCUUCUGUUUUCCACUGUGACAUCGAUGAUUUAAAGAGAGAGGAGGCGAGAAAUGAUUCUGGAGGUGGGGAAGUAUUUACUGUGAUGCUGAUCAUGAGAUGUCUGAUUCUCCAUUUCCUCAACAUUUCCAUUUUUAUUCACCAGAGUGAAAGUGGGCUUUUCUUGCUCUGGUUUAAAGGCACUUUACAGACAUUUCCUGGUGCAAAGAACUGGGCUCACUGCGGGGCAGUGAGCACUGACUGCAGCAAUUUUGUCCCUGCUAGGGACAGAAACAAGGAAGUCAAGUCCCUCUUAAUAUCACAGUCAAGUACAUCUGGAAUGCAGUGAGGAAGACAAGAACCACAAGUUGUGUUGCUCAGGUAGUGUCACCCAGAGAGAAUAGCAGGAGAGGGCAGGUCUGUGCUGCUCAGGUGUGUUUGGACACAGUGGGCUUUUGUGGCCCUCCCAACUUAAAGAGAACAAAGACAGCCUCUAGAUCCCUGCAGGCAGACUGAAGGGACAGCGUGCCCUCCACUGAAUGAUGGGCAUUUACUCUCAUUGGGUUCUUUUCCCCCCCUCUUCUUGUUUAAACAAGGUCUGAAACAAACAUAUCUCCAAAUCUGUUCUGUUAUUUCUCUGCUUCACUCUGGACUGUGAGUGGGAUGGUUGCCCAGCUGCUCUCCCCGCACAAGGAGGUUUUAAAGAUGGAACAGACAAGGUCAGGUGCAUCCAAACUGAUAAAUAAAACAAGAACUUCCAAUAUGACAAGCAUAGCAGAAGCAGAAAAUUCUCAUUUCCAAGCAGCUACAUUCAGUAUCUGUUUUACUUUGGACGGAUGCAUGCAGCUGUCUAACAUUUGCUCAAGCCCUCGAUUUUGGGUCCCACUUCAAUUCCACUUCCUAGAACCAGUAUGUCUGCAAGUAGGCUAAACUAAACAUAGAAUUUUGCAAAAAAACUCUGAGGUUACUGAAAAACUAUAUUAGCCUAAUCUUAUUUAUUUCUUCUUAGUGUAACACAGAGAUAAAGAGGACAUGCAAAUAAUAAAUUUGUUCAUUUAUUCACAAAGAAAACAUGAUGAGAGAAGGAAAAAUGAAUACAGAGGUGAUGGGGCUGCAUUAAUAAAAGGGCAGCUGACAGGUUGCAGAAAGUGAUUAUUUUGCUCUGCUCCAUGCCUCCUGGCUCCUGGCUCCCCAGCUCAAGCCACUGAAGAACUGGAGAGCACAGAGUAAAGGACCCCUGAGGUGGGCAGGAGGCUGGAGCAAGCAGCUGGGUGAGAGCCAUGAAAGGCUAAUGGGCAUCCUCAUUGCUUCUAAUUGCCAAGCUCCUCACAGGGUCUGGAACAGGCAAAUUUAUCCUUCCAAGGGUAUUUCUGGCAAUCAGGUUGUAAUAAAAUGCUGAGUUAGAGGUAGUUCUUGAAUGUAUGCUAAGUGGGAAAAAUACUUUUGUCUUUUUUCAUGAGAAGAGAUAAAUAUAAGCUUGUACUUAACUGCAUUCAUUCUCAAGCAGACUACCUACAGCUCUUCCCUAGAAAUGCUGAUCUUUUGGGGGUGUUUGUUUGCUAGUUGUGGCAGAAAAACAGGAAAUGGCUGGGAUUUAGUGCUGGAAUGUGACCCUGUGGUGAGUGUGGUCAGAAAUUUGGGAAUUCACACAGAAAUACCAACUUUUUAUUAUUACUCAGAAAAGAGGAAGCCAAGGGGGAAAAAAAAGCCUGUCAGACAAAGGAGAAAUCUGACAACAUCUGUCUCUUUAAAAUCACCUAUAAUUGCCUGAGAGAAAGGAAACCAGUCCAAAAAGCACUUACGUGCACUGUGAGAAGAGAUUAUUCUGUCUGAGACUGACUGUGUCAGCUUCGGUUCAGAGUCUUAUUAGAUCCUGGCACAAAGUUGAGAAUACGUAUGAAAGAAAAAAGAUUUAGAAAGGGUCUUUUCUGCAGAGAAAGUAAAAACCAGGCUAUUUCAUCUUAAAAAAAUGUGAGAGAUGAUAGAAAGUACGAGCUGUUGGCUGUCAGGCAGAGCCUGCUCAGGUUAGCAUGGAGGCUGCUGCUCUGCAGGGUGGGGGGGCUCCGGAACGUUUGUGGCAGCCAGAAAGGCUGCCUGAUGUGAAAAAUGAGGUUCUGCAAUCAGACCCAACCUGUCUUAACGGUGGUUCAAAACUAUGGAAUCUACUCAUAACCCCAGAAAGUCCCUUUAACUGGAGGCAUGGGAAAUGGAGGUGGGAUGCUUUAUUUCGGUAGGCAAGUAAAAAGUAAUUAAACAAAAAGAUGGUGAUUAGAUAAAGCAUAUCACAAAAUUAACAGAAAUCAGUGUAUUCCAAAUGGUAUUUUUGGACUGUCUUGCAGAAGUCUGACGGGUGCUUGUUUCUUCUGGUACUUGUGGGUGCAAUGGUGAACUGGUGAGGUGGCAGAGCUUGGCACUAGGUGCUUUGCACAGGAACUUUCACAUCAUAUUUUCUUCACAAGCUCUCACUGAAUGAAUUCAGAAUUCUCUUUCUUCAAAGGUUCUUUGUGGGAUAUUUCCCCUUGAGUGUUUCUUGCCACUGUGUACAAAAUACCUGCAAUAAGAAUGCAGGUAGGUGCUAUGGGUCACAUCUUCCUCUUGACAACAACAAGCACCAACCUUUUCAUUUCAGAAAGGAGGGCAGAUGCUCACCUCCCAACUGAUGUCAGAAGAACUACUUUUCUGAUUACUUUUACUAACUCUCAACAACAGUUUCAAAAGAAGACGGCCAAUGAAGCUCAAGAAAACUGCCUUAAUAAUGCAAAUUGAUAUUUUUGCAUGGCUGCCCAAGUGCAGCACUUCCUGACUCUAGAAAUUCAGUUACAGAGCUACAAUAAGCUCCUCAAGUCCCCCAGUUCUAUGUUGUGAUUUUUAAACUGCCAAAGAGGUGGAUGUUUGGUUUAGUCUGCAUAGAUGCUUGAAAGAAGAUGCUCUCUUUAGACUGCAGAGGGAGCAGAAAAUUUUCUGAGGAAAGGUGUUUCUGAGAAGAGUUUUGGGAAGAUUUGAAUUGACGCGUGGAUUGCCUGUCAACUAAUGGGAAUGAAGAAGAAAAAAGAGGUCUUUUAAGGUUAAGGAGGGGAGAGAGAAGGAAACUGCCCCUGCUGCUCAGGCUUUGCAAACAGUUUGGCUGUACAUGCACAAGACCAAGUUUUUUUUCUCAUUUACCUCAGAAUAAACCUGCAGUGACUCUAGAAUUGCUGACAGUGACCUUCUUGCCUCCAAACCUCUUUGAUUUUUUUUUUACCUUCUCCUCAGCUCCAUCCUCACAGAGCCUUGCACCAUACCUCAGCUAGGCCUUUAGCUACAACUUGUGGCUACAGAAGAGAGAACAUUCAUCCCAGCACUCUUUCCCAGUAGUGAUGCUGGCAUUACAUCUUACAGACCACAUUUUUCCUGUCCAUUCUGAUGACAGGGGAUUACCCAGCUGAGCUGUACAUGGCAGAAGCUCUGGAGAUGGUCAGGAGUGCUGCAGUAGAACCUGGUCCUGGCAUGGGUGGUGUCACAGCACCCAGGCCCGCAGCCUUCAACCACAACCUUCCCAGGGCUGCCCUUCUGCUCUGUCACUGAAGGCUGUUUGGCAUCCCUGUUCCUUGAUGAACAGAGUUUAAAUGGCUUUUUCUACCUGCCGGAGUAUUAGGUUAUUCCUGAGACCUUAAUGGAAAAUAACUAGAAGAGAGAUUUAGCUGAUGGAGAAGUCAUUUGAAGAGCUUUGGUUACCUAAACCUUGUUCCUGCCACUCCCACCGUUCCACUGAGUGAACUUUAGAAUUCAUAUCACUACUUCCUGCCUCAGUUUCUCCAAAUAAAAGAUACAGAAGUCUCCCAGACAUGCUGUGAAGCCCACUGGUUGUCUAAAACUUGCCUGGAAAUGGGAAUUCUGCCCUUUGCCACAUGCUUCAGCCAGGGAGGCCUCACGGUGUACGUGUCCCACCACAGCAAUCACACCAUGUUGAGGUGUGUUAGUGAUGUUCACCCCAGAGCUGAGCUCUGAUAAACUCCGCAAAGCCUUGAGAAACUUUCUGGGUGGAAGUCACAGUGGCAGAGUAGUCUUUAGCAUUAUGAUUUUUCAUUGUCAUAAUGAUUGUUUUGAAAGAUUGGGCUUGUUGUUUUGCAAAGAGAUUUUCUCUCCAAUAUGCAGCCAGCCACCCCAAGGGGGAGGAAGAGCCCUCCUGGUGACAGGCUCCCAGGUACAGCCCAGGGCAGGGACAGCUCCGCUUUCAUCUUGCCAGCCUACCUGCUCUGUGGGCUGAUGGCUCGGAGGGAUUUAAACCUCUCUGUGUCUCCAUUUCAGAGGUGAAACAUUGGGCUUUUUCUCUCACUGUGACCUCCAGGAAGCUUGGCACAUUCCUUAAGUAAGAUUGACCCCAAGUUCCUUUUUCUGCUGUUUUUGGAUUAAGCCAGACUUGGCACUCACGUGGGCUGCGAUACAGUCAGCAUUCCCCAGCUGCGGCGCUUUGUCAUGGGUCAGCACAAGCGAAAGUCUGUUCAGCAGAAGGUCACGGUGCUACAGCAGGGCUGACUGCAGAUUAAUACUGAAAUGUGUCAAAGAAAGAGAGGGGAGGCUGAAACCCUGCGGGUUCUGUGACACUUAAACACACCCUGAAGUACAUUAAGGACUGGUUUAUGAACACAGUGCCUCAUGAGUAUUUCUGGCACCUUCACAGCCUGCACAGCCCUGCUGCUGCCCCAUGCUGCAUUGAGUGGUGCAUCUCUGUGACACAGAUGGAGCUUCCAGAGAUGCUGAGCCCAGCUGCACAUCUACUAUUAAUCACCUCACUUCUCACCUUGUUAGCCACGGCUUUAUUUCUGCCUGAAUUCAGGCAAGGAAAGCUGCAAGCACAGGAAUAAAUACAGUCAGGAGUACAGCAGGAGGCACUGCUGUCUCACUGUGGGAUGAGCAGAGGUAGGGGUUCUCAUCCUCGUAUUGGUGAGCCAGGUGUGGGGAUGUGAGACCCCAAGGAACACUGCACCAGAGGCAGAUAGUAAGCCUAGAUCUGUGGAUCUUAAAUCUUCCUUGGGUAGCACUUGAUUCUGCUUAGAGGUAUGUAUGUCAAAGCACUGGUACAUUCAUGGCAUCUUGCACUCCAGCUGACACUAUGACUUCUACAGGUUAUUGCUUGGUGGCUGGUUUUGUUUUGUUUUGUUUUGUUUUGUUUUGUUUUUACCCCUUUUUACAUUUGAUUAAGAAGCUGCAAGAAUUUUAGGGGCUUAAUUUGUUUUCUGUCUGUUUCUAAAUUAAGAAACAUUAAACAAGGCAUGAAUAGUCCUUCGUGGCUCAAUGGUUAAUUUUAUGAAGAGAUUUUUUUUAUUAUUUAUAGAACUUGGAGUCCUUACAUCUUAUCUGAGCAGUGGGAAAUGCUGGAUCUUUUUCUUCAUUCACCACUGGAAUCACUGCCAUUUUGAGUUUGGAAAUUCUGAGUAAAAGUCUCACUUAUGCUAUAGUUUCACUCUCCUUUUGUUGCAGCCUCUUCUUUCUGCACCCUUCCAGCACCUCCCAUCCUGAAGGCACCUCAAAAGCAGAGGUACAAUGUUGGUGACCACAGGGCUGUCUUGAUCCGCUCUGGUCAUCACUUUAUGCAGAAGGGGAAGCACUUCAAUUAGUGCUUCAAGUGUGACUGCCAGUACUAGAAAAUAUGGAGCCUGGCACAGAUACAGCACCCUAAUCUUGUCCCUGAGCAAAAUCAAGAGCUCCGAACAGCAACUAAGGAGUUGAGAACUGAGUUUAUUUUGCUAUAGGCUCCCUGUGGCCAAGGGCAACAGUGCGAGAAAGCACAGAUUCUGUAUGAGAUGGCUGGAAGGAUCUGUGGCAUGGGGCAGAAUCUUCUCGUCAUCUGCAGAGAUAGUUUAGGCAAAGGGCUGUCAGCUCCAGGUGUGGAGAUAUUUUGGGUGAGGAAGGACCUGCUGGCAGAGGUAGAACAAAGAAAUGAGUUCAAGUGCCUGCAAGCAGAGGGCUGGAUAUCUGUAAACAGAACAAGACAAAAAUGUACAAAAUGCAGCGUGCAGAGAAACUUAAGCGCUCACUUGCUGUGACCAGAGCUAGGGUUAGCUACCUCUGGGUGAGUCUGCCCUACCAGGAGCCCUUCCUUUGCAGGCAACAGGUUGGCAUCCUCAGUAGCUCUCUUGCUGGGGCUCACUCCGGCUCAACUGUUGCAAAGUGGCUUUUGUGACUUGAUUUUUGUAAAAUAAAUUUUAAUAUGAAAGAAACGGAGCAAAAGGAGUGGAACCAGUGGAGUAGCAUGGGAAGAGAGCUCUAGAACUCCAGGGAUUUUUCAGUUACUUUUAACUGUCCUAAGAGGCACAAGAAAUAACUGUCACAGGCCCAGUUUUUCAGCCCUUACUAAGUAUUCUAGUCCAGCUGUAUUUAUUGAUGGUGAUUCUGCAGCUGAGUAAGAUUUCGCCAUUUGUAGCUCUUGGGUAGAUCAGUGAAAGAAUAAAUGCAAAGUGACUGCUGGUAGACAGAGUGAGACCCAUAGCCAAGGCGGCUGCAUUUCUGGCUCCAAAUAGCAUUUUCCAACCCCUUCCACAGUCAGAGACUUGCCAGAUCCCCAUUUAGCUUCUUAAAUUAUUGUAUGCAACACCUGAAAUCAAAUGUAGACAUGACUUUGUCUUUAAGCAGGGAGUCAGGUUUAAAAUUAUGGCACCUAGGAGCCAAGGGAAAUUUUCUAGGUGCUAAGUUUGGCUCCAGAGCUGCCAUUUCCCAGCACAGCAGAAUAGCUUGCCCCAGUCCAGGAGGUCACAGUAAAACAUGAAUGAAGGUGUUAAUGUAAAACCCCAAAUCCACAAAAUUCUUGAUUUAUGAAGCUGACUUUGCUUUCUAGGAACUAAGAACAAGAUUUGUUAGAGAUGAGGGUGGAAGAAUAGCUUUCAUGUUUCUCAUACCACAAGGCUUAGAUGUGCCACUUGUUGCUGCCACUGGUGGCUCAGGACACUGCAGGUGAGAUGCUUUGUGGUGCUUCGUGGAGGCUCCCUGGGCUGUGGCCCUGGCAGGGCUGGAGGAGCUCUGCUGGGCAGAGAGCAAGGAGAAAAGGGAAUAACGAGCCUGUGAAUGUGUAUGCACACAUAGAUCAAGGCCUGCAUUUGAAUGAUGGGAGAGCUGGUGGGUAGGAUACUGAAGCAUGCUUGCUAUGGCACGGGGAAGGGUCCCUCUGCAUGGGUCUCCUCAGAUAGAACCGUGAUACUGAAAUCUCCUGAGGUUUUGAUGUCAGAAACAACAGGAAAAAAAGGCUCUAAAAACAGUUUUCCUGCCAUGGAUCCUCCUCUGCCCUUGAUAUCCACAAGCUAUGGUGGCUGACCGCAGUGUGAAGGCAAACCUUGCAUUGACAUGGAGAGUGAUGAAUAGUUUCUAUCCUGAAAUCCAAUCUCUGAAAUUGAUUGCACCAUCAUAGUAAAUCCAUUACUGGAGCAGCCCGUUUUACCAAUACCACAUUUCAAUAAUUUAUUUCAGAAUAAAAGGCUUUUUAAAGUAUCAGAUGAAAUUAAGACCAGUUCUUUGAUAUCUGUAAAUACUGGAAGCCCUGCUUCAGAUGGAGGUGUCAUAGAUACUUCCUGAAAGCAAAAUCAUAUUUAAUAUGGCCAACAGAGGCUAGAAGAGGAGGUUGUCUAGGUGAAAGGGGAGGAAUCUCAUUAAAUGGGGAGGUCUAGGUUGGAUAUUAGGAAAAAAAAUUUCUCUGAAAGAGCAGUGAUGCACUGGCACCGGGUGCCUGCAGAGGUGGUGGAGUCCCUGUCCCUGGAGGUGUUCAAGAGCUGUGGGGAUGUGGCACUGAGGGACAUGGGUUAGUGGUAUGGUGGAGAUGGGUUGAUGGAUGGACUAGGUGAUCUUAGUGGUUUUUCCAACCUUAAUGGUUCUAUAAUUCUGUGAAACGUUAGCAAGGAUAACUGGCAUUUGUAUGAGCUUCCUGAUUCUCCUUGUUAAAAUUUUUAGUUUAUAACUAUCUGUAGAGCUGUUUACUUAGCUCAAAUGUAGUCUGUGGAUAGCCCUUUGGAGUCUUAAGUAUUUCUCAAAAAAGUGUCAUCUACAGAUCCGUUAGAUUUGCACAAUCCAAAGUUGCUUUCUGAUCCUGCAUACAUGUGUAUGUGUGUUGGCCUGGGUGGAGAAACAUAUCCGCAUCAGUUUUGAACAGCAUCAUGUGAGCCCACAGGUCAGAGGCAAGGAGGCAGGACAUCUGUCCUCUUUGUGGGUGGAGAAUGGUGCAGUGCUGUCCUCCAGGGCUUUGUGCUUAGGUGAAUACUCUGUUAGGCAAUGAAACAACGAUUUGUAGGGUUUUACAUCUUUUUCUAUAAGACUUAUUUUGAGAUAACGAAAGAAUUUGGAAGGAGCUGCAGCACCUUGCCUGUGCACAAGCUUCCUCUCUGCAAAUACUCUUACAAAUCAAAUUCACACUCUGCUGAGGAUGCUUCCACUUCUGCUGAGCCUGUCCUUUUGGCACAGUUGGUCCCUGGUUAUGGAACGCACAUUGACCUAAGGCUGUGCUGAUAACUCUGGUCAUUCCCUGCGCUAUGGCACAGCUCCUCCAGGCAGAACAGCACUAACCUGUUGUAAUGCACUAAAUCACUGUGUGAUGCUCUGCAACUAUUGGGGUACUGAGUAAUGGGAUCUGGGUGUAGGAAGCUGAAAGAAGGGAGAAUGCAAAACGAGGUAUAUAUUCUCAUAUUUAAUAAACAUGUAACGUUUUACCCUCCACCUCCUCCCUGUUUACAAAUGAAAUGAGCCCUUGGUGUGACAUUCCAUGCAUUUUUACAUCAGCUUAACCCUGGAAAAGCUUAAUCCUUGUUUAAUGGUCUUUUAAUAGAAGUGGUCAGUAGUUCGGUAAAUGUUUAAGUGACAGCUUGACAGACAUGGAGCUAACACGUUAAUCCUGGCUGCAGGCCAAGCGCUACCAAGCAGGUUCGCCUCAGAGCUGAGCAGGGCAAACGUUUCCGGCUCAGCCUCGGCUGGGAGGAGGUGGUCGAGGCAGUAGGGUUUGCUCUGAGUGUUUACAGGUGGAAAACAGCCCUUGUCCCGGGCUGCCAAGAGGUACCUUUGGAUAGCAUGAGACAUUUCUAUCCUCAGCCUUUGACAGACAAUUUCCUUUUCCUCUGCAGAGUGUAAUAACAUUAUUACAGGCAGUUUUGAGCUCUCUGUAGAGAUUGUCUUUCUCUUGAACCCUACAGACUUUCUCUGUAGGUGAUUGCUAUAACAUCAAACAGAGCACUGUAUGGGAAUCUCUGUGAAGGAGCAGGAACUUACACAUGUCGUGCAGAACAGCAUCUCCACCCACCAAGCAUCCUGAACACAGUUCUCACAAAAUCAAGCACUCGUUUAGAACUGUGCCUUUUGGCAAAGCCUGAGCUGCAGAGCCCUUGUCACCCCGCUGAGCUCCUGUCCCCACAUCACCCCUCUGCAUUCAUGUCCCCAUGUCACCCACUUCCCCAGCCAGCUCCUGCCCCAUUUCUGCACAUUCCUCCCCACCGUGCUCUGCCUGCAGCACACAGCACAGCUCGGGCAGCAAAGAACCAAAGUGAGGUGAGUUACACAAGGCUGGUGCCCCAGGCUGCCUUCACACCCACCUCAGUGCCCACGGGAGAGCAGCAGCAGCCCUGUAACCCCUGGCAUGCCUUCACUUGAUUUAAUGCAGUUCUUAUGUCAGUAGUGCUCAGAGAAGGACUGAAACAAUUUAUUUUAUGCCCCAGACCGUAUUUUGCCUAAGUCGACCUGUUUGACAGUAAGUUGUAAUUUUAUGGGAACAGUCUCUCGGCUUUUGGGGGGAAGAGGUUCAACAGAUCCAUUACCUGCUACCAGCUUACGUGGGAAGCAGACAGCUUGAAUAUAUUUCAACUGCUAGAAGAAACUUUAUAUUUUUAAAAUUUACACUCCAUAUUUUUUAGCGAUGCUUUAUUUUCCCCUUCAUUUUUGAAUUUAUGCUGCUGUGAUUUUUGUUAUAUGUUCAGCAUAUGUGUGUGUGUUUUAAUAUAUGUGUGUCUAUAAAGUAUAUGCAGCUUGGAAUGACCUACUCACAGAGGGACAACUUUGAAAAAAGUCUCUCCCCGUGAUUGACAGUUGCACUCAGACCGUGGGGAUUAUGGGGGAUCAAUGAGGAUUAUCUCAUUUACUUUCAUUAACCCUUGAGUUUACUUUGCUGGGUUUCCUCCACAUGCCACUCACUGAAUGUUAACGGUUUCUUUCAGCAGACGACUGUGCUGCCAGAGCUGACCGGUCUUUUUUAAAGAGUGCUUUAGUGCUCUAAAGUGGUUACAGAUAAAAAGAGAUAUUUAAUGUUAAAUGCCAGUAAACAUCAAUGCGCUGCACUGCUGUUAAAAACCCAUUUCAGAAUGUAUCUAUUUUAUCUGAUUAAUUCAACUCAGUGGAAACAGAAUUUUAACUCCUCUAAGUUUGGUUUUUUCUCCCUAACAUCCCAUACUGUCUUUGUAGGAACUCUUGAGAUAAAACUGGACUGAAAAUGUGAUUCUCCUCCUCUGCAGUGAGCAGUUCGACAUUUGUCUGCUUAAAUUUGGGACUUUCAUCCUAAGAAAUUCCUGUUGUUGUUCAAGCUACUCAUCUAAUUCCUGCUGAUGAGAGCUGAGAGGAAAAAGCCAAACAGAGGUGAUGGUCCUUGGAGGACCCAUGUCCCGUCCUUGUGAGGCUGCUGGUGGGAGCCAGGUGUACCCAGAGGGUGGCUUUGUUCGUGUUGAUAUCUAUCCAGCAUCAAGAAGGGAAGAACCCUCCAUGGUGUUACCAUUGCCAAAGCCAAAUCCACUUUUGGCAGUUCUAACAGUAUGGAACAGGAGGUUUGGGGAAGGAGCUGGUUCUGCACUUGGGCUCCUAUUGGCAGGAGAUAUUCCUCCAUGAAGGUUUGAAGGAGGAAGGCUUAGCAAGAUUUUCUGAUUCCAGUUGUAUGGAGUACAAAUAACUUCUCACUUCUUUUCCAUCCUUUCUCUCCCAGGAACAAAAUCAAGGCAAUACAUGAAAAGUGAAACUUUCUGGUGUCUUAGAAGAAAUGAACUGCUUUGCUGAAGACUGUGCAGCACAGUUGCACAUGUGACUGCAUAUUACAUACAUAAUACUAAUAACAAAACUUUGAGAGAAAGCUGCUUAAUCCCACCUCUGCUCCCAUGUGAUGCUGCUGGGGGAACAUCCAGGUUUGGAAUAAGUGGAACUAAAUGCAGAAUGGAUAUGUAUAUCCAUGGAGACUGAGCUCGGCCCAGAAUCCCCUGGAUUAAAGGCUGGAUAUAAUUUUCAAUGUUCAUGCUCUGCACAACCGUCUACUGUAUUUCAAAUCCUGUGUUAUCCACUUGUAGAUGCUGAAUGAAAGAUAUGGCUGGAUGUGUCCGGACAGAUGCGCUGUACAGUGCUCCACCGAGAAAAUGGCUUUGCACUACAAAAACCAUUUGUAUGCAAGUCAGCAGAAGCUUAGAUUUUGGUGUGCAAAAAAGUUCUAAAGUGUUCCUAUGAAGUACAAACAACAUGUCAGUGGUAUCAAGGAAAAUAAGUAUUAAGAUUCAUUUUGGAAUGUCUUUCAUGGAACAUUUUUUUAUGUGCUGAGGAUAUGACUUGACCUCCAGAAUGAAUUACAAAGAGCCCUCCUCAGUGGCAUGGAAGCUUCUGAAGUCAGUGAAACAUCUUUGAAGUUAAGUGAUGUUGAGCAAUGUGUGCAGAAUCACGGCACUGACAGCUGUCCUGGUAAAACAGAGGAGAUCCUUCCAGGCACGCAGUUGCUUUGUAAUAUUGUGUAGGGUUGUUUCUAAAACAUGAUCCUGUCAAAUAUGCCUAAAAAAAAUGUAACUGGAAAAUCCUGGUUAGUCAUCUUGUGUGUCAUCUGCCUGUGCAGAGCUGUGCAGGUAGACAUGGAAUUUCCAGGCUGUAGGAAUUCAGGUGCACCAGACAAAUCUUGCUUUACAAAUCAACUUUCUAUUUCAAAACCCAUCUCCAGUCUUCUGAUUUUAUUUUUUAAAUUAUAUUUUAAAGCAAUUGCUCUUUUUGUGCUCUUGGGUGUUUCAAGUGCUUCCAGCUGGAAUUUGCAGCUACCUUUUUCUAAGAACAUAGCUGCCAUCCGCUAGGGCACAUCCUCUGAUUAAACGAAUAAACCCAGGGAUGUUUGGGAGUGAGGAACAUCGGCACUCAGAGGCAGCUCCAUGCUCUGGAGAAACUUUUGAUGCGAUGCUUGAAAUAGGAUGGUGCACAGCCGCUGGGAGGGGUUGGCAGAGCUCCUGAUGAGUGCAGGUGUCUGCGGUGCCUCUGCGGUUAGGAAACUGAGAAACACAACAAAGCCGAACCAUUUUCUGCCUUAGCAACUCAUCCCAAGUGCAAGAAGUAGAGAUUUCCUUCAGGUUACACAGUUACUUACUCUCCAGUCAACCAAUUAGUGCCAGACAAGGCAGUGACAUCUGGAGUUGGUUAGCAGAGCAUUAGCUGUUCAUUGGGAUGUUUUGACUGGACUCUUCAAUGGGAUUUAUUGUACUUUAUAGUUGUUUAUUUUCCAAUCAGAGUCAGCCUUUAAGUCAAGAUUGCUGCUUCAGCCCCUUCUGAGCAAAAAGAAACACAAAGAAAGAGUCUCCUCUGACUCUUAGGUAGAGAGGGUUCCUCAGCAAUUAUACAUAGACUUAAAACACCAUAGUGCAGACAAAUUGAACAGAGCGUGCUUACUGCGUGCUGAUUAGCAAAGUGGGGGGAUGGGGAGGGUGAGACACGGUCAUGGCUGGGCAGGUAUGUCUGAAAAUACAUCUGGCACUUCUUGCUUCAAAACAAAGGUUAUUCAUCUAAAGCUGGAGAAAAUACAAGAAAUACUCUGAGUUUAGGAGCAGCUGAAGCAACCACAGUGUGCUGACACCUCUCUGCCCUGCAAAGCCCAUGUGAGGGAUAGUGUCUGCAAACUGCUGGGCUCUCCUCUGCAGAGUGGCUGCCAGGGAGGCAUGCUGUGCUGGGAGAUGGUGCUUCCAUGGUGGGAUCACCUCUUUGAGAUCGCAGUGAAUUCUGAGAAGGCUUUUUGCUGAUUGAGACCAGUGAGUGAGCAGCACCUGCAACAACCACAUACUCAGAUGCCAUGCACUGACUGAACACUGACCGCAUUCACCUGGCCUGCCGCUGGCAUUUGUUUCGGUCACUCAGACUUCAGGCAAAAACACGCAGUUCCAGACUCACCAUGGCUACCUAGAAUCCACCAGGAUAACAGAGCUCUCGACUUAUUUAUGACUCAGCUCCACACAUUCUGUCAUUUUUUUCAUAUUAUCUGGACCAAAGUCUAUCAAAAAUGCAUAUUUCUCUAUUGGCCUCAUUUCAGCUCCUAAUCCUCAUUGUACAGAAAGCCAUUUCCUGUCUUCUUUCUCUUUUUCCUUUUUCUUUAUCAGUGUUUCCUUUGGGUCUGUGUUGAGUUACUUUGGUGAUAUCCAAAUGAGAUUAAAUAUUUUGCACUUAACAUCACUUCUGCUACAUCUUUUCCUUUUGGACUCAAAUUGUACUUCAACGGCAUCCUCGCUGGCCUUUUUCUGUGUCCACUCUGAAAUGAAAAUUGCUUAAGCGUCACAAAGGGCAAAGCCCAACAGUGUCUGAGAGCAGGUACUAAGAACUGACGCAUUACCAGAUACAUCAAAAACAAAUAACUGAAGAGUGAGAGUCCUGAGGGCAUUGCACUGGCACUCUAAAUUGGGUAAUAGAUAGGGCGUUUGUUGUUCACUCACUGCUGUGCUGGUAAUUGUUGGUUUUAUACCACAAAUUUGAUCGUGUGGAGCACACAGGGUUUGACCUCUCCCUUUCCUUGCUUCCAACAACUUGCACAUGCUGCUCCAGUGCGCUGGCACUGAGGGCUGAUGUUAAGAGAGACCACAUGGAGUGUUUCAGAUUAUAGGCAGCGGAGGUGAUCCUAAUUUGUUCUGAUGUGCUUGUGCUUUCUAUGUGUGUCUGCAAUGUCAUCAAGAGCUUCUGAGGGAAACUGCUAGCCUUGCAACCUGUCAUUUUCAAUGGAGGGAAUAAUGACUUAAAUCACCUAAUUUGCUAUGAAUGUGAAGUGGCAAAUUAAAAAUGCCUGUGUCAUCACAUUUGUCUGGAGGUAUUUCCUGACCAAAGACCCAAAUAAAAAAGUGUAUUCCAGAUUUUCAGUAAAUAAUGUGGGUUGUUACAUAAUAAGGUCUCACUGCUUCUGGCCCCGCUGGAAUCUAUUGGGAAACCUCUGGAGCUCAACUGUUUGAAGGUGCAGAAAGUACCUGGGCCUCUUAGGCCACCAUGCAAUGGAGAGGCUCAAUAUAUGGUGUAAAUUUUAUAGAUUUGUCUUGGCCAGGCUUAUGCAAUGGCUUUGUCUUGCUCUUGGCUGCCAAGGGUUGGAAAUCAUGCUAUGAGGAAAAAUGUUGUCCCUUGGAUUCCCCCCCUCAAUCCAUAUAGAAGCUGAAAGUCCUUAUAUUUGAAAUAAAUAUCUAAAUGCUCUGUUAUUCAGACAGAUGAGAACAUGAUCCUGGGCCUGAGCUGUGGAAUUAAUGUCAAUACACUGGAAUAUUUCAACUGACCUAAUGUGUGUUCAUUGGGAUUAUGCCAAUUGUCAGGUAUGUUUGCACAAACGAGAAAAUUCUUUGCUUUCACCAGAGUGGCUUGGAAAUCUGCUGUUAAGACUACUGAAGGCUUUAGCUCUGAGCCUGUGGCGGAGGGGGAAGACUCAGCUGGUGCUCAGCUGAGCUUUGAAGAUGCAUUGGAUAUCCUUUGCCAUGUCUUCAAUGCUAAUGAUUAUCAAAACGUUGUAAACACAAGUUGUAAAAAUGCUACCCCAUAAUAAUUUGUGCUAUUUGGUUAUUUUUGCUUCUUAUUUUCAUUUCUGGAAAAGACCAUCAGCAAUUAGCUUCUACUGAUAUAUUUAGGAAAUAUAAGCAUCAGAAAACCCUAAUGUGCCCACAUUUCCUUUGAAUGAAAUAGCAUAUGUGUCAGCUGCAGGCUUCUGACAUCUGCACUCAGAGCUUAUAUGAAGAAUGAAGAGAGAAGCUGAAGCCGUGAAAACAAGGUGCCUGGAGUUGUUGGCUGGGCCCUUCUACCAAGAUGCAGUGGGGUGGGUAACCCUUUAAAAAUCCCAAAGAGAAAAAGGUGUUAAGAAAUUAGCACCUUGUUGUGUAGUGAUGGGAACAUGUGGAAAAUGCUCCAACUCAGUAAGUGUUUUGAAGCCUUGGUUUGGAAGGAGGUUUUCCAUGUAGAGCCUGAGGAUCAGAGCUCUCUGUGCUCUGUCAGGGUAACACCAUUGACUUGGGCAGCAAUGGCUGCUGAGUGGCUUUGUGCAAAUGGGGGCUUGAAAGGAAGAUCAGGAGGUUGUAAAAAAUAAAAUAAAUGAAGGGAAGGGAAG